CUAUACAAGGAGAGGGAGAAAAGCAGUGGAUAGACCUGCACUCUGAAUAAACAUCUAAAACUAAUGCAGGAUUACGGAAUCAUAUAACCAUAUAACAAUUACAGCACGGAAACAGGCCAUCUCGGCCCCGCAAGUCAGUGCCGAACAAUUAUUUUCCCCUAGUCCCAUCCUGCACAAUUUUUACAGAGAUUUUCAAACAAAAUGAUUUUUCACUGGAUCUCGCUACACAUGAUAGUAAUAAACCUACUCCCGAAUAGAAACAUAGAAAAUAGGUGCAGGAGUAGGCCAUUCGGCCCUUCGAGCCUGCACCGCCAUUCAAUAUGAUCAUGGCUGAACAUCCAACUCAGUAUCCCGUACCUGCCUUCUCUCCAUACCCCCUAAUCCCCUUAGCCACAUCUAACUUCCUCUUAAAUAUAGCCCAUGAACUGGCCUCAACUACCUUCCGUGGCAGAGAAUUCCAGAUAUUCACCACUCUCUGUGUGAAAAUUGUUUUUCUCAUCUCAGUCCUAAAAGACUUCCCCCUUAGCCUUAAACUGUGACCCCUUGUUCUGGACUUCCCCAAAAUCCUUUUGCUAUGACUUGGUGGGCACGUGUAUGUCCUUUCCUCUCUCUGACAAAAUGACAACAAAUUGAAAAUUUUCGUGAAUGUUUCUGAUGUUGUUGGGGUGAAAUUAAAAAAAGCACAGAAUGGAAAUAGCAAAUGUAAAAUCAGAAUGCCGAUCUCACUUCACACCCUACAUUAUUUAUCCUGAAUUGGCCCUUCCUCUCGUUAUCACAUUUCCACGGGGCUGGGAAGUCAGAGACGAUCAGCAGAGGGUUGGAACCUUUCCCUCUCAGCCUUCUAUUCUUCUGUUCCAUCUGACGUACUCAGCCAGGCUUGGAACUUGACAUCAAAUGAUCCCAUGACCCGGGGGGAUCGUUCUGCGGGCAGAAACCAUGGAGCUGGAUGUCAUCGGAGAGACCAUCAGUGCAACGUGCCCUGACCAGCAGAGUGUGGAAGUGAAGGGGAGAAAGGAGAGCAGACAAGGUCGAAGAUCAGAAGCUGCCAGAGGAUGUCAUCGGCCUUUUGUCAUCUCCUUUCUCCUGGGCCUCUCCAUUCUGCUGUCUGCAGGCAUUCUCAUUGCUGGAGUCUUUCUAUAUACUGAACACAGCGUGCGGCCGGAGAGCAACUCACGUUACAGUGGAAUUAUAAUCGGUUCCAUCUACCCAGCGCCAGUCACCUUCAGAGGCCCAAUCACUCAGGCCAAUCCACCGACGGACAUUAAAUCUUUUC